CGGGAAGCGAAACUCUCCGAGAAGGGGACGUUUGUUUGCUAUAAUUUUUGGAGACCGGGGACCGCUGCGGCGGGCAUAACUUUUUCAAGAAAGACACUCCUCUGACAAGGCAGCCUGUACAAUGUCAGUCAGGCCAGGCCUAACGAACACCGACCUCGGCGGCACCACUCGCGGCUCCUGCGCGUCCCUGGACUGCUCGUGUGGGGCUUUUGUGACCCGUGAGGACGCAUUUGGAUAUGCGGACUGUCCGGCCGGUUGGUGCUUGAUUUGUGGCCAUCCACCAGCACAGCACGGGACUUUAGGAAGAUGUUCCGACAGUUGAGAGAGGAUGCCCAGGACCGAAAGCCUUUCUGGGGUCUAAAACAAAGGGUAUUCUCUGUCCCGGAAGCAGUCCCCAGGUGGUCAACUUACCAAGCACCUGCUCCGACCUCAAGGCGUCUGUCCUUCUGCUGGGUGUUUAUUAUAUUUUGAACUUGAGCUAUCCAUCUUCCUAUGGGCAGCUUUUAGGGUUUUUGCAAACAUUCAUUGUAAAACGAGGGUCAAGGUUCGACAGAGGUUACCAAUCUGCUCGCCUCUGCUUCCUGAUAAGUGCUUGCAAACAGUAUUUGAAGUAGCUUAACAAAUUGAGCGCUAUUCUGGUUCUUGACAAGAGUACAGAUCUUCCUCCUUUGCGAAAUUUUAUAGUACUUUUAUUUCAAAGUUCGUUUCAGUAAAAUAGGGUGUAGUUCUAAGUUAGAAAUUGCGACAAGCAUAUCAUCCCGAGAUGUGAUAAAAUUUGUUUGGAAUAAAGUUCUUUCAAGUUGA
rnacentral:lncRNA from 1 species